rnacentral:rRNA from 1 species
GAUGAACGCUGGCGGCGUGCCUAAUACAUGCAAGUCGAGCGAAGCGGGGACGGGUGAGUAACACGUGGAAAACCUCUUAUAGGACUGGGUUAACUUCGUGAAACAGGAGCUACACCGGCUAUUUCUAGAUUGAUCCGCGCUGCAUUAGCUAUUUGGUAAGGUAACGGCUUACCAAGGCAACGAUGCAUAGCCGACCGGAGAGGGUGAUCGACCACACUGGAACUGUGACACGGUCCAGACUCCUACGGAAGGCAGCGGUAGGGAAUCUUCGGCAAUGGGCGAAAGCCUGACGGAGCAACGCCGCGUGAGUGAUGAAGGUCUUCGGAUCGUAAAACUCUGUUAUUAGGGAAGCGGUACCGGAGCAAAAAGCAACGGCUAACUACGUGCCAGCCGCCGCGGUAAUAC